AGUGAGAAACUCAUAGAGUGCUUAGGGCAUAGCAGUCUAUGCCCUAAGCAGAUCAUCAGCAGAACAUCAAGCUGAACACUUUAGCAUAGCUACCAUGUACCACCUAGACACAGAAAUAUUAAUUUUCCUUGAGGAAAUCAUAUUUUUCAUUCAUCUGAUAUUUCCUACUUUUAAGGUAGACUGAAAGUAGCAGUUUGCCUCCAGCAAAACAGAAUAUUCAAAUAAUUUGCUGUUUCAAACUAAUAAUAAUUCAAUAAUUCAUUUAACUCAAUUUGUUCAAUAAUUCAAUCAUUCAAUAAUAAUCAAAGCCUUCCCUGCUUUCAGUAACUAGAAAGAAACUUGCCCUUUCUCUAUUGUCUUUUCUUGUUAUCACCCAGACCUAAGGCAGUCCCAAACCUAAAUGAAAAACCUAAACACUUUUCUUGUAAAGACUGCCCCAGAAUAUUUUCUCAUGUACUCAGCAGCAGGUGAUCACAUGGAUCACCUUUAUAUCAUCAUCACUGAUUGGAAAUGACAAGUGCCAGCUAUUCUUGGUUAUUAGGGGGCUGUUCCCAUUAUAGAGAUGAUAAAGCCUAAUAUCUCUAAUAUUAGGGGGCCUUUACUUUUUCACGUUUAACAUUGUUUCAUGGCUUUUAUGGACGUUUCCAGAAACAAUAGUGUAAACCCAUUUUGAUGAGGAACUAUGAGGAAAACUAGUCAAAGACAAUGGCUGCAAUUGCUCUAGAUGGACUGCAGAGAAUCUGCUGAUGAUAAACAGGAUGCUCUGCCAUGAACUACAAAAGAAAAAAUGAAAAUAUCACAUUAAUGGUUUUGGUAAUGGUAACACAUUACUUACUGUGGUGGCACAGUGGAUGUCUUUCCAUACAUUGGCUUCCCUGGAGAGAUCUGAGACUUCAAAAAGGAAACGUGCCACAGACGUAAGUGUCCCUUACCUUGAUGAUGAUGUGGGCUCUGUGAUCUGCCUCUGCAUGCGUGCAUGUCUGAUCAGAUGUUCUUUCAGCGCAUUCUGGACCUCUGCUGGUAUAUCAGGGCCAACACAACUUCCAAAAGACAAAAAGUGAGACUACCAGCAAAGCGAGCCCGCAGAAGCUGACGACUACUGCUAACAGACUGACUGAGAUGUCUGCAAGGAAUUAGAAACAGAGAUCAUCAUAACAGACAAACAUGGAGAAAAAAAAAAAAGUAAGAAAGAAACAGGUAAGGAGAUAGAAGCAUUUUAAUCACUAUCCUACCAAAACCUUUAAAGUUUUAUUUAUUUAUGUAUUUGUUAGUUUUUUGUUUUGUUUUGUUUUUAAUAUAUCUAAAACGCCUUUGAAACGUUAUCAUUCUCUACUAUAUAUUUCUUUUCCAAAUUCUCCAGUCACUGUUGCACAGACUAGGUGCCAGUAACAGUACCAGUAGCCACACACUGCUAGUCAGGCUUCUCAGGAAAUAAGGGACUACACAAGUGGUCCUGAAUACACCCAGCCAUGGUCAUCAAAAGGUGUUUGCUCAUGAACACUUCUUGCUGAAAAAAAUAAACAGUCAACAUUUUCUAUAAGUGUACAUGAAGAUAGGUUAAUUCAAAACACUGAGGCUGAUAAAGAAAUUUCUUCAGGACUUGUCAAACUUGUGACUUCAUGUGCUAACUGCUUCAUAAACAUGUUUAAACCUAACAUUUACCUGGAUAAGCAGGAGCAAGAUAUAGUCUGUCACAACCAAUAAGUGGCAGGGGUUAAAUCUUAAGCACUGAUAGACCACGACAACACAUAUAUCUUGGUAUCUAAAAUUAUGCUAUGAAAAUGAAGCUGGCUUCAGAGUACACUAUACAAUGCCCUGGGUUGUAUGGAGAUCUUACUGUACACUUGCUAUCUCUGCUGCCAAGCAUUUGACUUUUUCUGCCACAGUGGAUUAACAUAUCCAAUAGCUCUGUCAAAGUAAGGAGAACAGAUUUCAUACCAACUAAAUUCUGGGAACAGACGUGCAUUUUAGGAAAUGGUGGAUCACCAGAAAUGCCAAUUGGGCCUUAAUUAGGAUUUUUAUUCUAUGUGACAUGUUUCAGUUUGAUUUUUCCAGUAUCAUGUAAUCUUAUAAAAUUGGACUUAAAAAAUCCCCUUCCUUUUGAAAGGAGGCUUUUGUAUGCUUUAAAAAUAUUCAAUAAGCCCUGCCUAAAUGCCCCUCAAGUAACGGCUGCUGCUGCUUGUUACAACAAGAUUUGACAAUUUAACAACUAAUAUUUUGUAUCCAUAGCUCCAGGCUACAGACUACUAAACUGAACUCAUGGAAAAGUGCAACCAGAGUUUGAGCGUAUUUUUUAAUAAAGGCUCACAGGAAGAAAAAUAGUCUUCUAGGUGUGUAUUGAAUCUAUGAAACAGUAUGUAUCUCACAAAUACUUUGGGGAUAUUGAGUUUCAACAAGUUCAUUUAGGAAAUUUUUCUUUCAUUUCCAAAUAUGUCUAUCAGUAACAAAUCAUAGAAUCAUUAAGGUAUGAAAAGUCCUCCAAGGUCAUCUGGUCCAACUGUCCCCCUAAUCACCAAUAUCACCCACUAAAUAAUACUGAGCUUAAGGCCCAUUCAGCACGAAACUAGGUGAGAACAGUCAACAUAAACAGAAGAUGUUUGUAGUUUGGAUAUUUGAAAGACAUGUUUCUACUUAACCUUAUUUCAUAUACAUCAUGGCCAGCUUCAUGGAGGAAUCAGAAGGGGAUGUGCUUCUGCAUUUAAAGCAUUUGGCACUAACUGCUGUCCUGCCUUGAAGAGAAAUAUGCCUCUGUGAACAUUUUCUGACAGUCCUAGGAAAGGUGUCAUCCUUUUCUGCCUGUAGUUAAAUGUCAAAAUGUAGCCCUUGGAAUAUCCAUGUCAGCUUAAGGAGAAAUUCAUAUGCUAAAUUCUGAUUUAAGAUGUCCAUAAAAUGAAUGGUUGCAUAAUUAUACCUAAUAGCAAUGUAACACAAGAAGCAAACAAUAUUUUUGCAUAUGAUUUUUCUAGAGAAUUAAUGACUGAUAGGGGUUAUUAGGCUAUUUGGUUUGAUCUACUGUUUACACUGAGAUCUUUUCUGAGCCUGAUAACUUUUAUUUGGCUUGUGCACAUGCCACAGCAGUGUCUGAUCUUGACAGCAAGAGAAGGCAUUAGGAGAUGCUGAGUUUACGGCUUGUUUAAUGAUUAAUCACUUUGUUGCAAAUUUGUAUUUCUGAUUUGUACUUCUGUAGUUCUAAUUUACAGUCAUUUCUUCUUUCAUGUCUUCAUAUGAGAGGUGAAAAGCUAUGAUUUGCUUCAUAAGACAUGCCUAAGCAAAAUGUGCUGGAAAAAAAACACCCACAAGGCCUGAAAGUCAAUCACCUACACCAGUCCCUUGAAUGGCUUUAACCUGGGGUACUUCAUAAUGUCCCAGACAAUUCCUGAGCAUGAAUCAGGAAUUACAGAAGACCAACAAUCAUUCUUUAUAUGCACUUUGGAUGUGGUCCUUAUAUGUUAGUAGAAGACAGACUUUAAGUGUAUGGACAGAGGCUGUGACAUGUGAAUUGGCCUCAGUGCCAGGGAAUGGUCAUAAGUAAAUUUAAGAAGUGAAUACAGAGGUAUGCCCCAUUGAAAGAACUCUUUUUGGUUAAUUCUCCAUUCUCAAACCUUGACCAAAUGUAAAACUCUAGCAAAAGGUUAAUGAUUUUUCAGAAAGCAAGAAAAAAGAAAACCAAAAAGAAAUUCAAUUUGGGGUCAUUUGCAGUAUUUCCAGCUCAGUUUAGAUGUGGUUGGCAUAACUAGGUUAUGUUUGGAAAUGAAGGCUUUUAGAACUGAAAAUUAUAAUUUUUCAUUUAGAAAAUGUUGAAACAGGAUGUGUAAGUACUUUGAAAUAGCUGAAAUUAUUUCAAAAUCAGAAAUAUGAUCAUUGAUGCCUUCCAGCGGUUACAAUUUGAUGAGCAGACACUAUCAGCUGAAAAACAUUCUAUCAAAGCAUUUCUAGCCAAUCUUAUUUUAAGUUUUUAACUGCAAGACACUUUUCAAGCCUUCAAAUAACUUGGUGUCUCUUUUCAACACCUAUUCUAGUUCUUCGACUUUCUUUAUGUAUAUAUUUUUUUUAUAUUUCUAUUAUACUAUUUUAAAUUCUCUCUAACUUAGUACCAAAAUCUUUACAGACAUUGUAAGUUUCAUACACUGAAAUAAUCACAUGAAACAUCUGAAGUCUUAAGAGCAGCGAAAAUAUGUAGGAGCUAUUUCUAGAGAUAGUUGUACAAACUACAGUCUCCAUAUUUGCUAUUUAAUAAUAAGUUAAAGAGUUUCACAUAUUGCACUUGAUAGUACAACAAAUUCUUAAACAAAAUCAUGAAAUACAGUAAUUGUCAGAAAUUGGACCAAAAAAUAGUUCAUUAGGAUAAAAAUAUAUUUAUUUCAUUUACAGCCAUAAUUGCUAAAAAGCAACCACUAUACCAUAUACAUUAAUGUGAAUAUCAUGUUUCAUUUCCUCAUUUCUGACAGUCCCUUGGUUGAGUAACUACUGUGAAAGAUUUGCUGUUAUGUGAAGACUGGAAUCAUCUGUAGAACAGCAGUAAAUGGAGCUUCCUAGACACUUUACAUGUUACACCGGAUGUAUCUCAUGUAUUACCUCUUAAGAGGAAGCUUGGUUUGAAAAAAAAAAAAAAAAAAGCCCCCAAAACAUCUCCUGCAGAUGAGGAGUUUCUUCACACCCCUAUUAAGGAAAUCUGCUUGGGAAGAAAAAUGGGUACCAAAGGAUGUCUGUGUCUUUAGGCUGGGAUUGUGCUUUACUUAUGUAAGCGUUAUAUAAAGAUGGUGACAACUUCAAAGACUGACUAGGUUUUUAGAGGCAGAAGAACACUCAAUCUUCUGGGACAAUGCUAACUGUCAGUGUUGUAAAUAACGUUCUCACUUGUCUCCGGCAUGAAGUAAAAGAAAAAUAAUUUUCAACCACAA